GACGAACGCUGGCGGCGUGCUUAACACAUGCAAGUCGAACGUGAUUUUUGUGGAAAUUCUUUCGGGAAUGGAAAUGAAAUGAAAGUGGCGAACGGGUGAGUAACACGUGAGCAACCUACCUUACACAGGGGGAUAGCCGUUGGAAACGACGAUUAAUACCGCAUGAGACCACAGAAUCGCAUGAUAUAGGGGUAAAAGAUUUAUCGGUGUAAGAAGGGCUCGCGUCUGAUUAGCUAGUUGGAAGGGUAAAGGCCUACCAAGGCGACGAUCAGUAGCCGGUCUGAGAGGAUGAACGGCCACAUUGGAACUGAGACACGGUCCAAACUCCUACGGGAGGCAGCAGUGGGGAAUAUUGCACAAUGGGGGGAACCCUGAUGCAGCGACGCCGCGUGAGCGAAGAAGGUUUUCGAAUCGUAAAGCUCUGUCCUAUGAGAAGAUAAUGACGGUAUCAUAGGAGGAAGCCCCGGCUAAAUACGUGCCAGCAGCCGCGGUAAUACGUAUGGGGCGAGCGUUGUCCGGAAUUAUUGGGCGUAAAGGGUACGUAGGCGGCCUUUUAAGUCAGGUGUGAAAGCGUGAGGCUUAACCUCAUUAAGCACUUGAAACUGGAAGGCUUGAGUGAAGGAGAGGAAAGUGGAAUUCCUAGUGUAGCGGUGAAAUGCGUAGAUAUUAGGAGGAAUACCGGUGGCGAAGGCGACUUUCUGGACUUUUACUGACGCUCACGUACGAAAGCGUGGGGAGCAAACAGG
rnacentral:rRNA from 1 species